rnacentral:rRNA from 1 species
GACGGACGCUGGCGGCGUGCUUAACACAUGCAAGUCGAACGGAAAGGCCCCAGCUUGCUGGGGUACUCGAGUGGCGAACGGGUGAGUAACACGUGGGUGAUCUGCCCUGCACUCUGGGAUAAGCCUGGGAAACUGGGUCUAAUACCGGAUAGGACCGUGCUUUAGUGUGUGCGGUGGAAAGUUUUUCGGUGCAGGAUGAGCCCGCGGCCUAUCAGCUUGUUGGUGGGGUAAUGGCCUACCAAGGCGGCGACGGGUAGCCGGCCUGAGAGGGUGUACGGCCGCAUUGGGACUGAGACACGGCCCAGACUCCUACGGGAGGCAGCAGUGGGGAAUAUUGCACAAUGGGCGCAAGCCUGAUGCAGCGACGCCGCGUGGGGGAUGACGGCCUUCGGGUUGUAAACCCCUUUCGGCAGGGACGAAGCUUUUGUGACGGUACCUGCAUAAGAAGCACCGGCUAACUACGUG